rnacentral:rRNA from 1 species
UACGUAGGGGGCGAGCGUUGUCCGGAGUUACUGGGCGUAAAGCGCACGCAGGCGGUGCUGCGCGUUUGGGGUUACAGCUCCCGGCUCAACCGGGAGAGCGCCUCGAAGACGGCAGCACUUGAGGGCCAGAGAGGGACACGGAACUCCGGGUGGAGUGGUGAAAUGCGUAGAUAUCCGGAAGAACACCAAAGGCGAAGGCAGUGUCCUGGCUGGUACCUGACGCUCAGGUGCGAAAGCUAGGGGAGCAAACGGG